rnacentral:lncRNA from 1 species
UGCUUUCGGGCUGCUAUCAAACAUUCUUUCCGGGCUUUGGAUUGGCCGGGCUUUUGGUGGCCCGGACCAAAUUGGCCUGGAAAUAGCUUGAGGGCUGAAACAUAAUGUGCCUGGCCUGAGUAAACGCCCAGCCUGGCCAUUUAGAUUUUUUUUUUUUUUGUAAUCUCUACUUUUCAAAUUUUAUUCGCAUGUAGUAAGCCCAACAAAAAUAAAAUAAAUACAUGCUGAAAUAUUUUUUAGAAAAUUCAAAAUUCACACUCUAGAAACCCAAUUUGUCUUUUCUCUCUAAAAAUCAAAUCUCUUUUUCUCUCUCUAAAAACCAACUCUCUCUCUCUCUAAAAUACACAGGCUCUUUAAUAAAAAAAAGUAUAUGAAGAGAUUAUUUACCUUUUGACCAAGAUGAUCACAAUUAAUCUUGACUAUUAGAAGUGAAAUGGGGUGGCAACAGUUAUUUCAUUGGCCAAAAUUAAUAUUCAAAAGAUAUUUUUUAUAACUUUAUGACAUACCCAAGCUAUAAGAUUUCAAACCACAAGAUUGUAAAUAAUUGUGACCUCUUUAUGCUUGAGGUAAAUGGUCUCAUUGUAUAUAAUCCCUUCUGAAAAUACAAUCUCUUUAUUUUCCUAAAGGGAAAGCUUUCUAUGUUCCCCUAUGACAUAAAAGUUCUAUCCUCCCCUUACCAUCCAACCGUCCAUUUUUUAUCAAGAGAGCUACUCACCGUUUGAUUUUAGAUCCGAAGUCUCAAAGUAUUUUAUUUUUAGUUUUUUUAAUACAAAUUUUCUGAAUAUGAAAUUUGGUACGUACCAUCUUCUCAUUGGGGCAUACUUAUUAAAAAUAUUAACAAUAAUUUUUUGAUAAAAAAUAAUGCUUAAAAUACCUUUUGAAACUUUGAAAGAUAUUUUAAUUAUUUUAUUUUAUUGAAAAUAUUUUUUUAUAUCUUUUGUUAGUACAAGUUUAAUGGAGGAAUGGAUGUAGUUUAUUGAAAACAAAAUUAAAAAUAAAAAAACGUGAUAUUAUGAUUGGUGCAAUCUUAGCCCUCCAUUAAAAAAUGGAAGGUUGGAUAAGAGGAAAGAUAAAACUUCGAUUGUAGGGGAACAUAAAUAGCUUUUUUUUCUCUAAAAACUCAAUAUCUCUUUCUAU